ensembl:lncRNA
GGGCUGCUUUUAUUUAACAUUAGUUAGACAACAUUUCAGACAAGAUAUGAAAAUACAUGCUAUUCUACAGAACAUUAAACAACACAGUGCAGAGAAAGCUAUAAAUUUGCCACAACACCAGGCCACAUUUCUGUGUUAAUAUUCAAAGUUAUCUAAACCCAACCAACAUGAAUUGACAGAAUUGUUUUCCAUCAAUGAACAAAGCUUUUGUCAGGUCAAAUAAACGGUUUUCUCAGAGGGGACAUCUACAAUAAUGUAUAGGUUGCAUGUAGCUCACUUGUGUUUGCAACACCAGGAUUGACUUCAAUCCGUAUGGGGGGCCAGUACAAAAAAAGAUAAAGAUGUGUAUGAAAAUGUAUGCAACCUGCCAAUGUAAGUCAAUUACUACUAUAAAUGUAGUAUGACCAGGACUGAAGAAGUAAAGAACGGAUAGUUUGAAGACUGUACAUACACCUUAAAAACAGGUUAACAUUUUACAGUAUAGACCCAGGGACAUUCAAAACUAAUUUCAGGACUAAACUACAUGUGCACAUUUGUCAUCCCUCCACAGUGAAAGAAAGUGAAGAUUCUUGGUCAGAAAACUUUUUUUGGAAUGUUAUAACAACAUAUUUAACAUUUCUUCUUUACAGAUAAAUAAUACAUAUAAAAAAAAAAAACUGGCACAGCCUGUCGGCCGUUGAUUUGAAUUCCACACACAUAGCUCACAAAUCAAACCCUCCAACUAAUAUAAAAUAUUCAAUAAACAUUGUGCUAUACUCAUGAUGCCUGGUUUAUUGCAUCAGUGGUAUAUUUAGUAACCCUCAUUUUAAUCUUCCUUGACCCUUUCCAUAAAAAGUAAUGGUGCAAAUAACAUUUGACCUUUCCUACUAAACAGUAAGCAUCCUCUCUGCUGCAAUAAUCCUAUUGUAAACAUGUUCAGAAACCAAAGUAUUAAAAUGUCACUAUUUUGAAUGGAACAGGAGCGAUCACCCUAGCAGUCUUGGCACAUAAAACACAUGCCAUGCAAAUGAGGAUGACAAAUAUUUUUCUGGAUCUCUGAAGUUAAUCUGGAGGAUCUUUCUACAACUGUAUCACAACCAAAGAGUAAAAUAUAUUGACGUUGACAUUUUAUGCAUUUAAGACCCAUAUUCUGUACAUGGCUCCUGUAGGAACCCUGUGAACUUGAAUCAUAGAGAAAACAUUCUGUCUUUAUACUCCUUAGAGAGUUCCAAAAUAAGGAAU